rnacentral:tRNA from 1 species
GGUUCCGUAGUUCAACUGGAUAGAAUAUCAGAUUUCGGCUCUGAGGGUUGGGGGUUCGAAUCCCUCCGGGAUCA